CCCUUAGAUGUCCUGGGCCGCACGCGCGCUACACUGAUGCAUGCAACGAGUUUAUAACCUUGGCCUGAAAGGUCUGGGUAAUCUUUUGAACGUGCAUCGUGAUAGGGAUAGAUUAUUGCAAUUGUUAAUCUUGAACGAGGAAUUCCUAGUAAACGCGAGUCAUCAGCUCGCAUUGAUUACGUCCCUGCCCUUUGUACACACCGCCCGUCGCACCUACCGAUUGAAUGGUUCGGUGAAGAUCUCGGACUUCGAUAUUUAUUCUUUAUUGAGUUUAUAUUGUGGGAAGUUAUCUAAACCUCAUCAUUUAGAGGAAGUAAAAGUCGUAACA
rnacentral:rRNA from 1 species